GAAUGUGAGGGUGAACUGGCUGCCACAUUUGUCACCCUGUUAAUAUCACCAAGUUGAUUCAGCUGAUCUGGCUGCUAGGUGGGUGUCGUCUUCCUCCCUUACUCCAUGUGCAUCCCACCUGAUGUGUGCUCCUUGGAAGAGGACCAUCUAAAUUUUUCCAGUAGAGGGGGGUCCUUCUUCAGUCAAGGGUAUAAGUGUAGCUGUGCUCUGCUGCUAGAAUCUCCAAGCAAACUGUCAAUAAAGCAAUAUAAAUAACAAUAAAGAGAUGAAAUAAACCAAGGCACUACAAAUACACUCUGAGAGUUA
ensembl:misc_RNA 7SK 7SK RNA